AGGGCACCACCAGGAGUGGAGCCUGCGGCUUAAUUUGACUCAACACGGGAAAACUCACCCGGCCCGGACACUGUAAGGAUUGACAGACUGAGAGCUCUUUCUUAAUUCGGUGGGUGGUGGUGCAUGGCCGUUCUUAGUUGGUGGAGCGAUUUGUCUGGUUAAUUCCGAUAACGAACGAGACUCUGGCCUAUUAAAUAGACGGUGUAUCUUGAAGUAUACCGCGCUUCUUAGAGGGACAAGCGGCGUCCAGCCGCAUGAAAGAGAGCAAUAACAGGUCUGUGAUGCCCUUAGAUGUCCGGGGCCGCACGCGCGCUACACUGAAGUGAUCAGCGUGCUCAAGUUCCUGCUCCGCUAGGAGUGGGUAACCCAUUGAACCUUCUUCGUGAUAGGGAUUGGGCUUUGUAACUAUUGCCCAUGAACGAGGAAUUCCCAGUAAGCGCGAGUCAUAAGCUCGCGUUGAUUACGUCCCUGCCCUUUGUACACACCGCCCGUCGCUACUACCGAUUGAAUGAAUUAGUG
rnacentral:rRNA from 1 species